rnacentral:lncRNA from 14 species
ACUGUCAACAGGAAGGGAAUGCCCAAGUGAUCAGCUGCCUCCUGCAGCACAUACCACAGCAUCACCACUGCUGAUGGCCAGGGUGCACAUCCUGCCCUGGCUGAGGGGGGAGAGCUGCUUCCAGUGCACCCUCCACAGCUUUGGUCCUCAGCAGAGAAGAAGCAGAAAAGAGUUUUCAGGCCCCAAGCUGCUCAAUCACAGACACGUGGCAUUAUCAAGGAGUCUAGGAAGCCUUUAGAGAAGGUUCUGGAGCCUUCCACUCUUCCCUGAUGCUCAGCAGGACACCAGGAAAGGCUUGGCCAGAGAGUGAGCUGGACCCAGGGCACUUGUCAGGACCGGCUCAGGAGCAGCGCGGUUGGGAAGCCCUGGAGCUCAUCAGGACCACGGCUGCUCCUCGCUGGCAUUGCAGGGAUCGACAAGAAGCGCUGGAGAAGUGAGACGUGGGCUCUGGGAUGUGGAAACCUCCCUUGGCUCUGCUGUGCUCUUGGCAGAGCUCUCCCACCCUGCAGCACGGGUGCUGAAACUACCCAAGGAGUAGGAGGAGCUCUCCCACUCUCAGCCCUCGCCUGGCUCCAGCAGAUAAGCGAUGGUGAAAGAUGCUGCUGCUUUGCUGUGAUUUGAAGAUAGGAGCCCCAGCAAUGCAGGGCUCUGAGCCUGCCUGGGGGAGGCUUCAGCUGUUUAGCAGCAGUAACACAUAAUUCACAGUUUAGUCAAUGUUUUGCUUUUCCAUUUGUGCCUUUCCAUCUCCAGAUCUCAAAGCCUGGUUGGAAGCCAUCAAUUAAGCUUCCUGUUGUCCUUUCUCAGGAUUAGCGGGGGAGGAAACUGAGGCACAAGGAAGCAUGAUCUGAUGCCUUCUAAAGCUAUUAAAGUGAUUGAGUCACCUUGGUUUUGACCAGUGACUGUAGAAGACCUUGGGUCUCAUUUCUGUGACCCAUGAAGGCAGAGCAGGAGCUGUCAGUGGUGUUUGUGACAGGAAUGUAGACAAUUCCCAGUGCUCAGCUUUGAGGGGGGAAGGAAUCCCCUUGAGUCAGGCUUGUCAUGGAGCUGUUGGCUGGAAGGGCUCUGGAGGUCGGGCAAUCCAACCUGCUGCUUGAGACAGGACCAUUGGCAACACCAGCCCAGCCCUGAAAACUCCCAGGGAUGGGGAUCCAGCACUGAGGAUGCUCCUAAGGAAGGAGCAGUUCCCAGGGCAUGGUCCCUCCUGGGAUCUGCUUCCCUUCCAGGAGGAACGGUGCUUGUGAAGUGUUUAAUGUCUUGCAUUAAACCUGAGGCUGUUUAGGAGAUGUCACAUGGUGGCUUUUAGAGGUUGUGAUGACUGUAGGGGAAAGAAUGGCUGUUCUUGUCUGUCUGAUGGAUUGGGGGGGGGGGUUAGGAAUCAGGAUCACUCCUGUGUUGUGUGAAUGUUGGCCUGUAUGAGGAGAGCAGCUGCAUCCUCAGGUAAAGUGGCAAUGAUGCAAACUGCCUGAGUAGGGCAGUUGUGGUGGGGAUGGGGAAAGUGUCCUGGGGCAGGUUGUAUUGCAUCACCUGAGUGGGGAAACCAGCGCUAUCUGCAUGGAACACCUUCAUGUGGCUGGAAUGGAGGUGAAGGUGGGCACCCGUGGCAAAUGGUUUGCGUGAGAUA